AUGUUUGACGAAGUUGUUCGGAUGCUUCGAGGAGUCAGGCAUGUGCCCAGCCUAAGGAGGAAUCUAAUUUUGUUUGGAGUUCUUCAUGAUGGUGGUAUGGUAUUCCGUUGUGGCCGGGAUAACAAGACCAUGAAAAUCAUGGAAGGUGAGGUGACCAUGAUGAUGGGAGAGAAGAUGGCUUCACAUCUUUACAAGUUCCAAGGGAGCACUAUCGCAGGUGGAGUCAUGGAGACUAUAGUUGCAAGAGUAGCAGCAGGGUCCCACAGAGGUGGCGGGUCUGGGCAGGCUCGUCGAGUAGCUCUACGUAAGAUAGGAAGAAGACAACCCAAGUCCAUAGUACAUGGAAGUUUGAUGCAUGGAUGA
rnacentral:rRNA from 1 species